GAAAAGGCUGUGAAGAAGAGGAGUACAUACACAACCCCGACAGAGAGAACGGCUCAACGGUUGAGAGGCUGUUCAGGGAAGGUGUGGAUGGAAGGUAGCUUCGGAGCCGGGGGCCCCAAAGCAGAGUGCAAGUAGGGAAUCACGGAUAGUCUCCGUUAAAGGACUGAAUGAGAUUGCCGGAAUGUUUAGAGAAUUCGGCAGAAGCCAGGUGGUACCGCGGAAGAUAUUUCGCCCUUUGC
rnacentral:ncRNA from 1 species